GCAAGUCGAACGGCAGCACGGGAGCUUGCUCCUGGUGGCGAGUGGCGAACGGGUGAGUAAUGCAUCGGAACGUAUCCAAUAAUGGGGGAUAACGCAGCGAAAGCUGUGCUAAUACCGCAUACGCCCUGAGGGGGAAAGUGGGGGACCGCAAGGCCUCACGUUAAUGGAGCGGCCGAUGUCGGAUUAGCUGGUUGGUGAGGUAAAGGCUCACCAAGGCGACGAUCCGUAGCUGGUCUGAGAGGAUGAUCAGCCACACUGGAACUGAGACACGGUCCAGACUCCUACGGGAGGCAGCAGUGGGGAAUUUUGGACAAUGGGGGCAACCCUGAUCCAGCCAUGCCGCGUGAGUGAAGAAGGCCUUCGGGUUGUAAAGCUCUUUCGCGAGGGAAGAAAACUUAGCCAAUAACACUGGCUGAGGCUGACGGUACCUUGAUAAGAAGCACCGGCUAACUACGUGCCAGCAGCCGCGGUAAUACGUAGGGUGCGAGCGUUAAUCGGAAUUACUGGGCGUAAAGCGUGCGCAGGCGGUUUGACAAGUCAG
rnacentral:rRNA from 1 species